UACAAGCUGCAUUGACCGUAUUGAUUAUAAAGUUAAACCUUUGAGCUGAAAUAGGGAGUUUAAAAACGAGAUCGGAAUGAUAGGCUCCGGACCUUUUUCCGGAGACGUGCAGGAACAUCUCUGAGGACACCCACUUUGUGGAGUGAUGGUUUUUAACUUUCUAAUUUUCCUACGGCAAAGGCGGCUUCUUA
rnacentral:other from 1 species